GACGAACGCUGGCGGCGUGCCUAAUACAUGCAAGUAGAACGCACAGUUUAUACCGUAGCUUGCUACACCAUAGACUGUGAGGUGCGAACGGGUGAGUAACGCGUAGGUAACCUGCCGGGUAGCGGGGGAUAACUAGUUUAAACGAUAGCUAAUACCGCAUAAUAUUAAUUAUUGCAUGAUAAUUAAUUGAAAGGUGCAAUGGCACCACUACCAGAUGGACCUGCGUUGUAUUAGCUAGUAGGGGAGGUAACGGCGCACCUAGGCGACGAUACAUAGCCGACCUUGGGGGGUGGACGGCCCCACCUGGACUGGGACCCGGCCCAGGCUCCUUCGGGGAGCAACAGUAGGGAAUCUUCGGCCAUGGGCGGAAGUCUGGACGAGCAACGCCGCGUGGGUGAAGGAGGGUUUCGGGUCGUAAAGGUCCGUUGUAACGGAAGAAAGGGUGUGAGUGUGGAAAGUUCACACUGUGACGGUAUCUUACCAGAAAGGGCCGGCUAACCACGUG
rnacentral:rRNA from 1 species